CAUAUCAGAGGAAGUGGGCGUGGCUAGUGAAGACAAGAAAGAGAGAGCGAUAGACAGAAGAAGAGUUACUGCAGACCAGGACCAGGUCUAAAUCUGAGCUCUGCCGGGUCAGUAUUGAACUGUCAACUGGACCAGGACUGGAACAGGACUGGACCAGGUCUGGACCAGGACUGGACCAGGACUGAUAGGAUCGGGACUGGACCAGGACUGGAACAGGACAGGAUUAGGUCUGGAUUAGGUAAAGACCAGGACUGAGAGUAUCAGGACUGGAUUAGGUCUGGACCAGGACUGGAACAGGACUGGACCAGGACUGGACCAGGUCUGGACCGGGACUGAGAGUGGGGUGGUGAUCACUCCGUGCAGACGUCUCAUUCUUUGUGCUGACAACAGGAAGGAGAUGGAGGAGUGGAUGGCAGCGCUGCGCAGCGUCCAGAACAGACAGAACUAUGAGUCCACCCAGUACAGCAUGGACCACUUCAGUGGGAUG